rnacentral:lncRNA from 1 species
ACAAUUAUAAAAUAUAUAAAAAAAUAUUGAAGUACAUUAAUUAAUGUAAUUAACAAAGAAAAAACUUGAUUAAAUAAUGUAUCUAAAUAGAUAUUUUAAUACUUAUUGAAGUUAAUGAAAUUUUAUAAAUUUAAUAGCUAAAGGCAGAAUAGUAUAAUAAGACAAACACACACCUCAAAUACCAUCUAGUGUCAUUUAUGAGUGUUUUUCUAAUGCUAACAGGUGAAGAUGAGUGACAGCAUAAAUGUGUUCUUGAGUGAUUCUUCCUACACCUCCCUAACCUCAUCCUGCAUCUCUCAAUUUUGUUUUAAUUCCAACUAUACCCCUAAGUCUACUUGUGUCAUAGUCUCAGAAGCAUAUUUGGGUUUUAUAAAAAGUUUAUUUCCUCUACCGCAUCUCACCCCAAACCAAACCCUACACUCCCUUUAUUAUUUCUUCUUUCUCCCUUUCGUCGUCUUCCCCUCCUCCAUCUUUUUUACCAUUUUUGAACGUUUUGCGAUAUUCCUUCCCCUCCUCUCUAUUGCUCAUUUGUACACUGUGUCAUGGUUAGUUGUGUAGCAGGUCUUCUUCUCACAUACGUAUAUCAACUUUUUUUCUAGCGUCCAGGUUAGUUCUUUUCAUUUAUACUUGAUCUUUCUGAUGUUGUGGGUGUGGGAAAAAAAUGCUUGUAUGAUGAAUAUAUGUUAGUAUGGUUGAUUUACAUAUUUUUUUCUGCUUGAUCUGUGUUGUUGGCCAUAUUUUUUUGCUGCUUGAACUGUGUU